UACGAGGGAUGCAAGCGUUAUCCGGAAUUAUUGGGCGUAAAGCGUUUGUAGGCGGGCGAGUGUGUUUAAUGUUAAAUCUUAAAGCUCAACUUUGAAAUUGCGUUAAAAACUGCUUGUCUUGAGUAUGGUAGGGGUAAAGGGAAUUCCCAGUGUAGCGGUGAAAUGCGUAGAUAUUGGGAAGAACACUAAACAGCGAAGGCACUUUACUAGGCUAAUACUGACGCUGAGAAACGAAAGGUAAGGUAGCGAAACGGAUUAGAUACCCGUGUAGUCUUACCCGUAAACUAUGGACACUAAACGGUAAAUUUUUAAUUUACUGUUAAAGCUAACGCGUUAAGUGUCCCGCCUGGGGAGUAUGCUUGCAAAAGUGAAACUCAAAGGAAUUGACGGGGGCCCGCACAAGCGGUGGAGCAUAUGGUUUAAUUCGACGGUACACGAAGAACCUUACCAGGAUUUGACAUGCUAGAUAGUUGCUUGAAAGAGUAACGUGCCGUAAGGAAUCUAGACACAGGUGGUGCAUGGCUGUCGUCAGUUCGUGUUGUGAAAUGUUGGGUUAAGUCCCGCAACGAACGCAACCCUUGUCUUUAGUUAUUUUCUAAAGAGACUGCCUGUAAUAAACAGGAGGAAGGUAAGGAUGAGGUCAAGUCAUCAUGCCCCUUAUGUCCUGGGCUACACACGUGCUACAAUGGGAAAGACAAUGAGCUGCAAAUCUGUAAAUUUAAGCAAAUCUCUUAAACUUUCUCGUAGUUCGGAUUGUGGGCUGCAACUCGCCCACAUGAAGUUGGAAUCGCUAGUAAUCGCCAGUCAGCUAUAUGGCGGUGAAUCCGUUCCCGGGCCU
rnacentral:rRNA from 1 species